rnacentral:lncRNA from 1 species
UGCGCCCUCUUAUUCUUCAUAUGAAAAAUAUUUUUACAUGAUUUUUCUCAUGUGCAAAAGCUUUUUCCAUAUUUUCAUCUAAUUUUUUUUAAAUUAUAAAUUGGUUGGUUUAAAUUUGAGUUCAAAUGGGUUUGAAUUUGAAUGAAAACCUAAAGUCCAAAUUGAGUUGGACUCUCCUCUUCACACCACAACCUUUCUCCAUGCAUAAAGUAUUUUUGUGUAAGAUUUUUUGCAUCAUUCUAAUGUUGGUCAACCCCUCUUUGAGUUUAUAAGAUGAGAAUAAAGUUUGGUUCAAAAUUUAAUUCAAAUUUGAUUUGAAUUGAUGA